GACGGACGCUGGCGGCGUGCUUAACACAUGCAAGUCGAACGGAAAGGCCCUGCUUUUGUGGGGUGCUCGAGUGGCGAACGGGUGAGUAACACGUGAGUAACCUGCCCUUGACUUUGGGAUAACUUCAGGAAACUGGGGCUAAUACCGGAUAGGAGCUCCUGCUGCAUGGUGGGGGUUGGAAAGUUUCGGCGGUUGGGGAUGGACUCGCGGCUUAUCAGCUUGUUGGUGGGGUAGUGGCUUACCAAGGCUUUGACGGGUAGCCGGCCUGAGAGGGUGACCGGCCACAUUGGGACUGCGAUACGGCCCAGAAUCCUACGGGAGGCAGCAGUGGGGAAUAUUGCACAAUGGGCGGAAGCCUGAUGCAGCAACGCCGCGUGCGGGAUGACGGCCUUCGGGUUGUAAACCGCUUUCGCCUGUGACGAAGCGUGAGUGACGGUAAUGGGUAAAGAAGCACCGGCUAACUACGUG
rnacentral:rRNA from 1 species